rnacentral:rRNA from 1 species
UACGGGGGGAGCAAGCGUUGUUCGGAAUUACUGGGCGUAAAGGGCUCGUAGGCGGCCAACUAAGUCAGACGUGAAAUCCCUCGGCUUAACCGGGGAACUGCAUCUGAUACUGGAUGGCUUGAGUUCGGGAGAGGGAUGCGGAAUUCCAGGUGUAGCGGUGAAAUGCGUAGAUAUCUGGAGGAACACCGGUGGCGAAGGCGGCAUCCUGGACCGACACUGACGCUGAGGAGCGAAAGCGUGGGUAGCAAACAGG